rnacentral:misc_RNA from 1 species
GGCUGGAUCACCUCCUUUCUCGAGCUUAAAUCCGCGAAGUUGAGCGCUCACGCUUAUCGGCUGUAAAUUAGGACAGACUCAGGGGUCUGUAGCUCAGUCGGUUAGAGCACCGUCUUGAUAAGGCGGGGGUCGUUGGUUCGAAUCCAACCAGACCCACCAAUUGUCUGGCGGAAUAAACCUGAGUGUCUCUGUAUGGGGGCAUAGCUCAGCUGGGAGAGCACCUGCUUUGCAAGCAGGGGGUCGUCGGUUCGAUCCCGUCUGCCUCCACCAAUCCUCAAUGGUAAGUGCUUGGAAGCGAGCAUUAAGCAUUGGCGAUUGAGCCAGUCAGAGUGAUGCAGGAAACUGUAUCGGCUGUCGUUCUUUAACAAUCUGGAAGAAGUAAGUAAUUUGGAUAGCGGAAGCGUCUAAUGAGAUGGACGUGGAAACUAUCCGGGUUGUGAUUGUAUCGAUGUAUCUCAAGAUGAUUCGAACUUCAUGUUCGGCUCGAUUUUGGAAUACGGCACAACGCGAGAACUCAACCUGUAGCGUACUUUGUAUCGGAUCAUCGUAAGCGCUCAAGCGCUAACGAUGAUCGAGAGACAGACUCGUUAUAG